UUUCUAAAGUUUCGCUCAAAGUCAUCAAUUUUAACUCUUUGGGUUCUUCCAUUUAAAAAGGAUUAUACCUGCUCUAUCUAAUUUCUCUAAUAAAAUAUCAUGGUUCACAGUUUUAAGUUUUAUGUACAUCAAAGAAAAUAUCCAAUGCUUUAUAGUUUUUAUCAAUAUUUUUUCCCUAUAAAGCUAUCAAUCUCAAAUAGCAGGUUAUUUGUCCACAUUCCAGUUUUUAAACCAAAUUGUUUAUUAAAAAAAAAAAAAAUGAUUUUAUCUUUGGGAAAUUUACCAUUACUACAUUUUUCAAAUAUUUUAGAUAAAGUUAAUAAAGUGAUCAGUCGAUAAUUUCCGCAUAAUAAUUUAUCAUCCAAUUUGAAUGAAUGAAUAAUUAAACAUUUUUUAAAAGACAAAAGAUAUUUACCAGUUAAUAGUGAUUUAUUAAAAAUAAUUGUUAACAUUAAGG